rnacentral:rRNA from 1 species
GACGAACGCUGGCGGCGUGCUUAACACAUGCAAGUCGAACGAAGUGGCGAACGGGUGAGUAACGCGUAAUCAACCUGCCCUUCGGCGGGGGACAACAGUUGGAAACGACUGCUAAUACCGCAUAUGGAAGGAGGGGAUUGCGUCUGAUUAGCUAGUGGGGGGGGUAACGGCCCACCAAGGCGAUGAUCAGUAGCCGGUCUGAGGGGAUGAACGGCCACAUUGGGACUGAGACACGGCCCAGACUCCUACGGGAGGCAGCAGUGGGGAAUCUUCCGCAAUGGACGAAAGUCUGACGGAGCAACGCCGCGUGAGUGAUGACGGCCUUCGGGUUGUAAAGCUCUGUUAAUCGGGACGCGGUACCGGAAUAGAAAGCCACGGCUAACUACGUGCCAGCAGCCGCGGUAAUAC